rnacentral:lncRNA from 10 species
GCGAGCGCUGCUGUUAUUUUUGCCCCUGUUAUUUUUGUUAAUUAAAAAGGAGGGAUGCUAUGGCUGCUCAUACUUCUAGAGGACUGUAUUUACCAAAGCCUUGUGAUGUAAUUUUUUUUUUUCUUGAGAUGGAGUUUCGCUCUUGUUGCCCAGGCUACAGUGCAAUGGCGCGAUCUCAGCUCACCGCAACCUCCGCCUCCCGGCUUCAAGGAAUUCUCCUGCCUCAGCCUCCCGAGUAGCUGGGAUUACAGGCAUGCGUCACCACGCCCGGCUAAUUUUGUAUUUUUAGUAGAGACCGGGUUUCUCCACAUUGGUCAGGCCAGUCUCGAACUCCCGACCUC